GUGAGAGAGUGGUAUGACUACAGGGACUAGUGAGAGAGUGGUAUGACUACAGGGACUGGAAAGAGAGUGGUAUGACUACAGGGACUAGUGAGAGAGUGGUAUGACUACAGGGACUAGUGAGAGAGUGGUAUGACUACAGGGACUAGUGAGAGAGUGGUCUGACUACAGGGACUGGAGAGAGAGUGGUAUGACUACAGGGACUAGUGAGAGAGUGGUAUGACUACAGGAAUUAGUGAGAGAGUGGUAUGACUACAGGGACUAGUGAGAGAGUGGUAUGACUACAGGGACUGGAGAGAGAGUGGUAUGACUACAGGGACUAGUGAGAGAGUGGUAUGACUACAGGGACUAGUGAGAGAGUGGUAUGACUACAGGGACUAGUGAGAGAGAGUGGUAUGACUACAGGGACUAGUGAGAGAGUGUGGUAUGACUACAGGGACUAGUGAGAGAGUGGUAUGACUACAGGGACUAGUGAGAGAGUGGUAUGACUACAGGGACUAGUGAGAGAGUGGUAUGACUACAGGGACUAGUGAGAGAGUGGUAUGACUACAGGGACUAGUGAGAGAGUGGUAUGACUACAGGGACUAGUGAGAGAGUGUUAUGACUACAGGGACUAGUGAGAGAGUGAUAUGACUACGGGGACUGGACAGAGAGUGUGUGAAAAGUAGAAAUUGUUUUUGAAAAAAUAUAAAGGCAGUUAUAGUAUUUUGUGCCUGCCAAAAUGUGAACGUUCAUACUACUUACAGCUCAUGACCUAACAGUGGCCAAAUCUUGGCCUCUGUGUCCUCUGUCUCUUGCUGCCGAGGUUCAGCCUACUUUGCAUGCUGACAGUAAGCCUCGCCUACAAUUUUAUAACAAACACAGUAGGUCAUAAACAAAGAACUCAUGCCACUUCCUAGGAGCAAUAUGAUAGUACUGUCAGUAGUAUGACUCAUCUCUGUGUUGAUUUUGAGGGUUGUAUUCUGUGUAUUACUCAGGUAUCCUGUGAUGAAUAGUUUCUGUUCAUGGACCAUGCUGUAACCAUAGAUCUGUCUCUCUGUCUCUCUGUGUGUGUGACAUAAAUAAUGUACUCCCUCUUCAUGGAAUAUUGUUACAAUGACGCCUCUUUAGUGGGAUACUGCUAUGAGGUGAGUGAUGGCUGCUGAUCCAAAAAUAUGGUUGACUUUGAGGUAUUGCAAUGGCUUCUAUCUUCUAAAGCCAUUCAAGGGAGUGUUGGUCACGUGUGUGUGUUAUUUAUUUUAGUAAUUUAUUCUGAAACUUAAAGUUGUACUUUUGACAUUGGGCAGAAUGUGUAUGAAAUGCACCAAAUAAAUGUUCUGGUGAAUGUAG